AUUGAACGCUGGCGGCAGGCUUAACACAUGCAAGUCGAGCGGGGUGAUGGUGCUUGCACUAUCACUUAGCGGCGGACGGGUGAGUAAUGCUUAGGAAUCUGCCUAUUAGUGGGGGACAACAUCUCGAAAGGGAUGCUAAUACCGCAUACGUCCUACGGGAGAAAGCAGGGGAUCACUUGUGACCUUGCGCUAAUAGAUGAGCCUAAGUCGGAUUAGCUAGUUGGUGGGGUAAAGGCCUACCAAGGCGACGAUCUGUAGCGGGUCUGAGAGGAUGAUCCGCCACACUGGGACUGAGACACGGCCCAGACUCCUACGGGAGGCAGCAGUGGGGAAUAUUGGACAAUGGGGGGAACCCUGAUCCAGCCAUGCCGCGUGUGUGAAGAGGGCCUUAUGGUUGUAAAGCACUUUAAGCGAGGAGGAGGCUCUUCUGGUUAAUACCCAGAAUGAGUGGACGUUACUCGCAGAAUAAGCACCGGCUAACUCUGUGCCAGCCGCCGCCGUAACAC
rnacentral:rRNA from 1 species